rnacentral:rRNA from 1 species
GGGCCCGCACAAGCGGUGGAGCAUGUGGUUUAAUUCGAUGCAACGCGAAAAACCUUACCUACCCUUGAAAUCUUCGGAAUCUCUUAGCAAUGAGAGAGUGCCUUCGGGAACCGAAUGACAGGUGUUGCAUGGCUGUCGUCAGCUCGUGUCGUGAGAUGUUGGGUUAAGUCCCGUAACGAGCGCAACCCCUAUCCUCUGUUACCAGCGAGUAAUGUCGGGAACUCUGAGGAAACUGCCGGUGAUAAACCGGAGGAAGGCGGGGACGAUGUCAAGUCAUCAUGGCCCUUACGGGUAGGGCUACACACGUGCUACAAUGGGGAAUACAGACGGACGCUAAGCCGCGAGGUGGUGCUAAUCCUAGAAAGUUUCUCGUAGUCCGGAUUGGAGUCUGCAACUCGACUCCAUGAAGUCGGAAUCGCUAGUAA